rnacentral:rRNA from 1 species
GUGGGGAAUAUUGGACAAUGGGCGCAAGCCUGAUCCAGCCAUGCCGCGUGAGUGAUGAAGGCCUUAGGGUUGUAAAGCUCUUUCAGUAGGGAAGAUAAUGACGGUACCUACAGAAGAAGCCCCGGCUAACUUCGUGCCAGCAGCCGCGGUAAUACGAAGGGGGCUAGCGUUGUUCGGAUUUACUGGGCGUAAAGCGCACGUAGGCGGAUUGGUCAGUUAGAGGUGAAAUCCCGAAGCUCAACUUCGGAACUGCCUUUAAUACUGCCAGUCUCGAGUCCGGAAGAGGUGAGUGGAACUCCUAGUGUAGAGGUGGAAUUCGUAGAUAUUAGGAAGAACACCAGUGGCGAAGGCGGCUCACUGGUCCGGUACUGACGCUGAGGUGCGAAAGCGUGGGGAGCAAACAGGAUUAGAUACCCGGGUAGUCC